rnacentral:rRNA from 1 species
AUACCUCCUUCGGGAGAAAGAAGGCCUCUCUUUGAAGCUUUCGCUACUAGAUGAGCCUGCGUAAGAUUAGCUUGUUGGUGAGGUAAAGGCUCACCAAGGCGACGAUCUUUAGCGGGUCUGAGAGGACGAUCCGCCACAUUGGGACUGAGACACGGCCCAGACUCCUACGGGAGGCAGCAGUGGGGAAUAUUGGACAAUGGGCGCAAGCCUGAUCCAGCCAUACCGCGUGUGUGAAGAAGGCCCUAGGGUUGUAAAGCACUUUAAGUUGGGAAGAAAAGUUAUUGAUUGAUACCCAAUAACCGUGACAUUACCAUCAGAAUAAGGACCGGCUAAUUCCGUGCCAGCAGCCGCGGUAAUACGGAAGGUCCAAGCGUUAAUCGGAAUUACUGGGCGUAAAGCGCGCGUAGGUGGUUUAUUAAGUUGGAUGUGAAAUCCCCGGGCUCAACCUGGGAACUGCAUCCAAAACUGAUUCACUAGAGUACGAUAGAGGGAGGUAGAAUUCACAGUGUAGCGGUGGAAUGCGUAGAUAUUGUGAAGAAUACCAAUGGCGAAGGCAGCCUCCUGGAUCUGUACUGACACUGAGGUGCGAAAGCGUGGGUAGCGAACAGGAUUAGAUACCCUGGUAGUCCACGCCGUAAACGAUGUCAACUAGCUGUUGGAGAACUAUGUUCUUCAGUGGCGCAGCUAACGUAGUAAGUUGACCGCCUGGGGAGUACGG